CUCUUCAGGGCAGGGUGUGAUCCCCGACCGGCGGUAAAGUCCGCGAGCCUUUGGGCUGACCCGGUGAAACUCCGGGACCGACAGUAUAGUCUGGAUGAAAGAAGAC
rnacentral:ncRNA from 1 species